rnacentral:rRNA from 1 species
GUUAGGAAUAUUGGACAAUGGGCGCAAGCCUGAUCCAGCCAUGCCGCGUGAGUGAUGAAGGCCUUCGGGUUGUAAAGCUCUUUAGUCCACGAAUAUAAUGACUGUAGUAGAAGAAUAAGCCCCGGCUAACUUCGUGCCAGCAGCCGCGGUAAUACGAAGGGGGCGAGCGUUAUUCGGAAUCACUGGGCGUAAAGCGUGCGUAGGCUGUUUUGUAAGUCAGAAGUGAAAGCCCAGGGCUUAACCCUGGAAUUGCUUUUGAAACUACAAGACUCGAAUUCGGGAGAGGAUAGCGGAAUUGUCAGUGUAGCAGUGAAAUGCGUAGAUAUUGACAGGAACACCAGUGGCGCAAGCGGCUAUCUGGACCGAUACUGACGCUGAGGCACGAAAGCGUGGGGAGCAAACAGGAUUAGAUACCCGUGUAGUCC